CAACUACUCCCUCUGUCCCAAAUUUCUUGUCUUAGAUUUGUCUAGAUACGGAUGUAUCUAAUACUAAAAUGUGACUUGAUACAUCUGUAUCUAGAAAAAUCUAAGACAAGAAUUUUGGGACGGAGGGAGAACUUU
rnacentral:pre_miRNA from 1 species